GCUAUCUAUACGGCACAAUUUGUGUCGCAGGGAUGGUGUCAACAAGUUGCAUACAACAAUCGUCAUGGGCGUACAGGAAGGAAAAAAUAAGGGGGUGGAAAGAAAUUUGCCCGACUUUGUCGAUUGUGCCCGAGUUGUCAAAAAAAAAUUUCCGGAGAAACUUUCCAAAAUUGUUGUCGCUCCAAUAUUGUUUAGGUCCAUUUUUUUAAGUAUUUUAUAAAGCAUAUGCUAUGUAUGUGCUAAGAAGCUAGUUUUGUUGGCAUGUGGAAAGCAAAAGUAGCGAAGGUAAAGAGAUUAAAAUUGGAUUUAGUGCGUAUUUUUGAAAAAAUUUUACCACCAAAUAUGGUAGUCCCCCCCCCCGUCGAUGACACUUGUGACGUCAGGUACAUACGGGACUUUGGGGGCGGGUUUUGGCGGGAAAAUCUGUAAUGUUUGGAGAAGACAAGAUGGCGCUGGUUACCUCGUGUCAUAUCAAAGGGCAUUUUUGUUCACAAAUACCCGCUUAUUUUACGUUAUAGCGACUGGUUCGUUUUGGAAAUUAUAACUCAAUGGACGGGGAAAAUGAUUCUGUAUUAAAGAGAAAAUGAUGUGCAGUUAUUGUGAUGUUAUUUGUUGUGAAAGACGGCCCGAAAUUUCGCUACUUCGCAGUACUGGUUUAUAAAACAUUUACAAGCAACAGCAGUUGAACUAUAUGACAAAGAAACCAAUGUAUACAAGCCAAUCAAGUUCUUCAGUUUAAAGGUCUGUUUACUUUUUAAUAAUUAGUUCAUUUAGUUGUACAUUAAUACAGAGAUGUGAACCCUAAGUUACAAAAAUGCGGGUGAUAUAUAAUUUUUGACAUGACGUCAUUUUUUGUUGUUGAGAAAAUUGAUUGGUGAUUUAUAAAAGCCUUGCUAAGCCCCAUAUUUCUAACUUCCAUAGAUAUUUAUAUUCUUGUUUAUGACAAAACAGAUGUAUACAAACGUCUUAAGAGUUAAGUCUAGUUGAAGUAGAUGUGUGCAUGCAUACACUCUACCAACCAAAAACAGAACAACGAAUCAAGAAUCAGAAGACAGAAUCACAGAAUGCGGGUGAAUUGCUAUAAAAUUUGCUAAUGCGGGUGAUUUUAUGUGCCAAUUUUUCCGUGUGUGAUGAUUCCAAAAUGCGGGUGUCACCCACUCAAUGCGGGUGAGUUCACAUAUCUGAUUAAUACGAAGUACUGGAACAGUACGCCUAAUCACAGAAUAGGAAGGUAUACCGUAUUUACUCGUUUAAGCGCCGCGGCGCUCUUUAAAUUUUCAAAGCUUCAGAUGUGGCGCUCAUUCGGGGGCGGCGGUCAAUCGGGGGCGGCGCUCUUUAAAAAAUAUUUUAUUUGUGAAUUAUGACAAGAACUUUUAACUAUAAAAUAGACAAGUUUUAAAAGGUUUUUGUUACCAUAUGUCCCCAUUUUGACACUGCUUAGGGCGGCGCUCUUUUAAAAAAAAUGAUCUCAAAUGUGGCGCUCAUUCGGGGGCGGCGCUCAAUCGGGGGCGGCGCUCAAACGAGUAAAUACGGUACCCAUUGAACUAAAAAUAACUGGAACGAUACCUCCAGCUGGAAAUGUGAAGCCAUGCCCACUGUUGUCAUGCCCAGUCUUUUCACGUAACGGAAAUGAACGCGGGUUUUUUAAAUUUCCAAAACUGGGUAAAAAAUGCACUAAAACAUUUAAAACGACGUAAAAUGCACCUACCAGUACAUUUUUUACAAUAAAAACAUCCUUCAAAACUCUAGAGUAAAAUAUUUUUAAUUUAUUUGUGUAGAAUUCAUAAUUAAAUUUCCUUUUUUGAGAAAAAACGUUAAGCGAGGAGUGGAGCUUGCCGUGGUCUAAUCAUAAAUAUUUGUGUGAAUUUCCCUAUUUUGCUCAUUCGUUUUCCAAUUUAUUCGUCUGAAAGUUAGGAAAAAAGGUAUUCUAACAAGAUCAAACUACCAACCACAGUUUAAUUAUGUUUUGUAGUAGAGUAUUUAUUAAGUUUUAAAGGUACAAAAUAACAAGUAUAAACAUUAAAGACAUUAAGAAAGUUUUUUUUGCGGACAAGUAUUUCAUGUUGCGAUUAUUCACAUUCGGCAAGAAAUACACAGAACAAAUCGUCAACGAAGGCAAACAAAGUGAUAGAUACAGAUUAAAUAAACUUAUCUUGUUCAAUUAACAAUCAAUGAAGUUGUUAUAAAUAUAUGUUUAAUACGUUAAGAUAAAGAAUUACUUAUCUUUCUCAAGUUUCAUCUGCAUAUAAACGUUCCAGUCAUUCAAAUAUGCACUUGUUGUCUCCAAUCAGUUACUUUCUUCCAUGCUGCCCUAAUCACGUGAUUACUUUGCCCAAUCAUAAUUGUCUAUAUUCGUUUGUAAUGUAAUAUCCCUAAUUAAUCUAAAAUUUACUAUAAUUGAAUUAGUGCUAAAUAAUAAUAAGGUCAGUUUCCGAUAAUAUAUAUAUAUAUAUAUAUAUAUAUAUAUAUAUAUAUAUAUAUAUAUAUAUAUAUAUAUAUAUAUAUAUAUAUAUAUAUAUAUAUAUAUAUAUAUAUAUAUAUAUAUAUUUAUACAUUGAUACUAUUGAUACUAUAGUGCUGUUCCAACGUACAAUAAUGUGAAAAAAAGAAAAGAAAAAAAGAAAUGAAAAAGUUUUUUCAUCAAGUUAGAAAAAUUUCCGGAGAAACUUUCCAAAAUUGUUGUCGCUCCAAUAUAGUUUAGGUCCAUUUUUUUAAAGUGCCUAUGACACGAAAUUUCACCCCAAAUGUUUAUGAUUGCAUUGUAAAGAUCACUUAAAAUGACUUAAUAAUUUCUUUUAUAGAAUUUUGAUAACUUGCUUCCUUUUCAAGAUAUUCAACUUUGUUUCAUAUGCAAAUAUCACCGACCGUGUGACAUCACAUCGCAUAAUGACAUUUUGAAAACGCAACAUUUUACCUUGAUAAAAUAUUUUUACAAACAAAUACAGAGGGUUAAUUACCAGUUAUGAAAUUAAUAAAUAUACAAGGGCAAUUUUGAAGUUUUUUAGUUACGUAUUCGUCAAGAAAACUGUACUUUUCUGAAAACUCAUUAUGUGAUGUGAUGUCACACAGGUGAUAUUUGCAUAUGAAACAAAGUUGAAUAUCUCGCAAAGGAAGCAAGUUACCAAAAUUCUAUAAAAGAAAUUAUCAAGUCAUUUAAAGUGAUCUUUACAAUGCAACCAUAAACAUUUGGGGUGAAAUUUUGUGUCAAGGCACUUUAAGUAUUAUAUAAAGUGUAUGCUAUGCAUGUGCUAAGAAGCCAGUUUUGUUGGCUGGUGGAAAGCAAAAGUAGCGAAGGUAAAGAGAUUAAAAUUGGAUUUAGUGCGUAUUUUUGAAAACAAUUUACCACAAAAUAUGGUAGUCCCCCCCCCCCGUCGAUGACACUUGUGACGUCAGGUACAUACGGGACUUUGGAGGCGGGUUUUGGCGGGAAAAUCUGUAAUGUUUGGAGAAGACAAGAUGACGCUGGUUACCUCGUGUUAUAUCAAACAGCAUUUUUGUUCACAAAUACCCGCUUAUUUUACGUUAUAGCGACUGGUUCGUUUUGGAAAUUAUAACUCAAUGGAUGGGGAAAAUGGUUCUGUAUUAAAGAGAAAAUGAUGUGCAGUUAUUGUGAUGUUAUUUGUUGUGAAAGACGGCCCGAAAUUUCGCUACUUCGCAGUACUGGUUUAUAGAACAUUUACAAGCAACAGCAAUUGAACUAUAUGACAAAGAAACCAAUGUAUACAAGCCAAUCAAGUUCUUCAGUUUAAAGGU
rnacentral:lncRNA from 1 species